rnacentral:rRNA from 1 species
UACGUAGGGGGCGAGCGUUGUCCGGAGUUACUGGGCGUAAAGGGCAUGCAGGCGGUCAGUCGCGUUUUGUGUGACAGCGGAGGGCUUCACUCUCCGAGCAUACGAAAGACGGUGUGACUUGAGGGCUCGAGAGGGACACGGAAUUCCGGGUGGAGUGGUGAAAUGCGUAGAGAUCCGGAGGAACACCGAAGGCGAAGGCAGUGUCCUGGACCAACACUGACACUGAUGAGCGAAAGCCAGGGGAGCAAACGGG